rnacentral:rRNA from 1 species
UAAUACGGAGGAUCCGAGCGUUAUCCGGAUUUAUUGGGUUUAAAGGGUGCGCAGGCGGGAGAUUAAGUCGGCGGUGAAAUUUUGCAGCUCAACUGUAAAAGUGCCUUCGAAACUGGUUUUCUUGAGUGUAGAUGAAGUAGGCGGAAUUUGUGGUGUAGCGGUGAAAUGCAUAGAUAUCACGAGGAACUCCGAUUGCGCAGGCAGCUUACUAAGCUACAACUGACGCUCAUGCACGAAGGCGUGGGGAUCAAACAGG